GUGGUGGUUAGAGGGCCAGCAGCAAAGCCGCAAGGCGCCCGGGGAGGGGCCCGCGUCCCAUCAGCUAGUUGGCGGGGUAACGGCCCACCAAGGCGAUGACGGGUAGGGGACCUGAGAGGGUGGCCCCCCACAAUGGAACUGAAACACGGUCCAUACACCUACGGGUGGCAGCAGUAGGGAAUAUUGCAGAAUGGGCGCAAGCCUGAUGCAGCAACGCCGCGUGGGCGAUUGAAGGCCUUCGGGUUGUAAAGCCCUUUUGCGCGGGAAGAGGAAGGACGGUACCGCGCGAAUAAGCCUCGGCUAACUACGUGCCAGCAGCCGCGGUAAAACGUAGGAGGCGAGCGUUAUCCGGAUUUACUGGGCGUAAAGCGCGUGCAGGCGGCCCGGCAAGUUGGCUGUGAAAGCCCCCGGCUCAACCGGGGGAGGUCGGUCAAAACUGCCGGUGCUAGAGGAUGGGAGAGGGAGAUGGAAUUCCGGGUGUAGUGGUGAAAUGCGUAGAGAUCCGGAGGAACACCAGUGGCGAAAGCGAUCUUCUGGCCCAUCACUGACGCUCAGACGCGAAAGCUAGGGGAGCGAACGGGAUUAGAGACCCCGGUAGUCCUAGCCGUAAACGAUGUAGACUAGGCGUGGGCGGGUUCAAAUCCGUCCGUGCCGCAGCCAACGCGAUAAGUCUACCGCCUGGGGACUACGGCCGCAAGGUUAAAACUCAAAGGAAUUGACGG
rnacentral:rRNA from 1 species